rnacentral:tRNA from 1 species
GGAGAGGUGGCUGAGUGGUCUAUAGCGCUUGCCUGCUAAGCAAGAGUCUCGGUAACGGGGCGCGAGGGUUCGAAUCCCUCCUUCUCCACCA